rnacentral:rRNA from 1 species
CCUACGGGGAGCAGCAGUGGGGAAUAUUGCACAAUGGGGGAAACCCUGAUGCAGCGACGCCGCGUGAGUGAAGAAGUACUUCGUUACGUAAAGCUCUAUCAGCAGGGAAGAAACACUGACCUUACGGUCAGCAGACGGUACCUGAGUAAGAAGCCCCCGCUAACUACGUGCCAGCAGCCGCGGUAAUACGUAGGGGGCAAGCGUUAUCCGGAUUUACUGGUUGUAAAGGGAGCGUAGACGGUGGGCCAAGUCUGGAGUGAAAUGCCGCCGCCUAACGGCGGAACUGCUUUGGAAACUGGCGAACUAGAGUGCGGGAGGGGUAAGCGGAAUGCCUAGUGUAGCGGUGAAAUGCGUAGAUAUUA